AAACCUUCAUAACCUCACCAACUGUCUUGUUUGCUAUCUUGAACAUAGAUUUAAGCUCCUGAAGAGGGUGACUGUCAUCUGGAGUUUUUAAAAGCUGAAAGAAAAGCCUUUCAAGAACUGGAGACAGCUAGUGUUGUUAUCGUUAUAAGCAGUUGUUUCAUCUGAGCAACUUCUCCAAGUGGUGGCGGUAUUAGAAACACUGGACAAUCAAAGAAGUAAGGGG
rnacentral:lncRNA from 1 species